rnacentral:tRNA from 1 species
CUCUCCGUAGCUCAGUGGACCUAGAGCAGGGAGCUUCUACCUCCCGUGUCGGGAGUUCGAAUCUCUCCGGGGAGGCCA